GGUGGGCAUUUAGUGAAUUAUCUUCACUAAGGACGCGGCAGGCCCGGUGUGUGGUGAGGGUGCCGUGUCGGAGCCUAUUAAGCGGGUUUUCUGCGGAAAUCAGUAUCUCAGCUAGUUCAGAAGAUAUCUGUGAUUUAGAUGAGACCGGCAAGAAUCGUCAGGGACAGGACUUGAACCAUGAAAAGAAAAGACAGCAGCCUCUGGUGUGGAGCAAUCAACUGCAACGCCUCCAAAGCAAAAUGCCCUGAGCUGAGCUUUUUUAGAUUCCCUCCGCAGCCUGAGAGAUCAAAAAAGUGGGUCCAGAUGUGCAGGCGCCAGGAUCUCCUGGGGAAAUCUACAGAGUAUUUAUGUGAAAACGUGAAACUGUGCUCCAAGCACUUUGAGGACUCUCAGUUCUACCCAAACAACAGGAAGAGGCUGAAGAUGGAUAGCGUGCCAACUGUUUUUGAUGUGCCAAAUCCUCCCAAGACAGUAACAACUCGGCGCCCCCUUGUCAUGCGACAGGAGCAUCAGCAAUCAGGAUCGUCCCAGGGUGAGUCAUUGAACUGCAUUUUAUUUUCAUGAGUUUGGGAACUCCUUUCAGGCCUAUGUGGCUUGAGGUCAGGUCACCAGGUCAUGCCAUGUGUCCUAGCUUAAAAAGGCUUUAAUGCUCAUCAUAGCUAUGCUGACUAGCUGAUUGUUUGCGAAAUAUUAGUAAGUAGUGGCAACUGACAGGCAAGCUUAUAGUUUUUUGAAGAAAUAUUCUCAGAUUUAUAGGGCAUAGAAAGAAUACAAGCACUUAGCACACACAUGAAUGCAUUCUUGGGUGUGCUUGUAUUGUUUCUAUUUCUGAAAGGGGUGGUGGAAAAGUCCCUGACGAAACGCGUCCACCCGAUUGUAUUGUAUCCGUUUCACAAUAUAUACUUGUCUUUUACUACUGAUCUGUGAAUAAACGGUACUGAAUGU